rnacentral:rRNA from 1 species
UCUAGCAUGUGCGCGAGUCAUUGGGAUUUUAUCAUAUAAACCUAAAGGCGCAAUGAAAGUGAAGAUCGCGGUCGCCGUUAAAAGCGGCCCGAUCGAGGGAGGAUGACUCGCGAAAGGAAACGCUCGCGAGUUCGCACUCCCGGGGCGUCUCGCGCUCAUUACGAGCGGAGGCGCACCCAGAGCGUACACGCUGGGACCCGAAAGAUGGUGAACUAUGCCUGGUCAGGACGAAGUCAGGGGAAACCCUGAUGGAGGUCCGUAGCGAUUCUGACGUGCAAAUCGAUCGUCGGAACUGGGUAUAGGGGCGAAAGACUAAUCGAACCAUCUAGUAGCUGGUUCCCUCCGAAGUUUCCCUCAGGAUAGCUGGCACUCGUUCGAACGAGUCUCAUCUGGUAAAGCGAAUGAUUAGAGGCCUUGGGGCCGAAACGACCUCAACCUAUUCUCAAACUUUAAAUGGGUGAGAUCUCUGGCUUGCUUGAAUACUGAAGCCACGAGAUAUAUCAUUUUUUAAAUGAUGAAUGGAUCAGAGUGCCAAGUGGGCCAAUUU